ensembl:lncRNA LINC01500 long intergenic non-protein coding RNA 1500
AAGGCUGCAAACGAAGCCAGAAAGAUGGUGGCCAGCACACCUAUGGCAACUAUCACCACGGUCUCCAUGCUUCCGGGGAGCUCCUGACUCAGUCCCGUUCACAUCGUCCUCAUGGGCUAAGGCUGCUGGAAGUGGCAAACUGGGGGAAGAGGAUGGCAGGAGCUAGGUUCCUCCACGACACCUCCAGAGACCUGAGGGCCUCAAGCUGCAGCUCCGGGGCACAUCCCGCUGCGCUCCCACGACGGCCCCGCGGAUGGCAAAGUCAGCGGACAACUACCCCAGUUCUCACUUAUGAAGAAAAUUAAACUGAAACAUAGGCCUAGAGUUUAUGUGUUCUUGAACAUUGCACCAGAAUUGACCACAAGAGAAGACUCCCUUUCAAACUCUUCAUUCUCUGGUUCAGAGGUUUGAUGUAAUGGUUGUCUCAUCGUACAUGGUCAGCCACAGGAUAUACUUCAUCCAUUUCAGAGCUGUACUCCUGAGUUCCAUGCUAUAAUCAGAAAUAUGUGGCACAUUUUGAACAAAGGAAAUAUAUACCCAACAAAGUGUUAAAAUGGAGCUGCCAACCAGACAAACCCUAGAAAUAUGUAGCCACUUACAGGCAGAACACAACUACAUGUGUUCCCAAUGUGGAAGGCAUUCCGGAAGUGUAUGCAUCCACAUUUCUACAUGAGGCAUCGCCUAUGCAGGCAAUCAAAGGAUGUUGAUGGAUAAGUGUUUCAGGCAGAAUAAUGGCCCUCAAAGAUGUUGACACCAGAAUCUUCAGAACCUUUGCAUAUGUUACCUAACAUGACAAAAGGGACUUUGCUGAUGUGAUUAAGGUUAAGAACUUUGAGAAGGGAAGAUUAUCCUGGAUUAUACAGGUCGACGUUUAUUUCUUUCUGAACUUUCCUGGAGGAUCAUCGGCCAUACUCCAGCAGAAGGGUGGAUUUGAAAAAAUAACGUUUCCACGGCAACAGUGGCAGCAAUUCAAAGGAAGACGUUGGAGAAUUCACAUGCUAUUUUAGCUGGCUCUGUGAUUGCAAUCACACAAAUCAUUACAUUCCAGCGAGAUCCCAUCAACAGAAGGUUUUUCCAUUUCAGUCUGUCAAGUUUUUCAGGCAUGAAUACUGUAAGCAAGAAGAGAAAAGUUACAAUAAAUUGACAUUUAUAGU